rnacentral:rRNA from 1 species
GACGAACGCUGGCGGCGUGCUUAACACAUGCAAGUCGAACGGCAGGGCCCUGCUUUUGUGGGGUGCUCGAGUGGCGAACGGGUGAGUAACACGUGAGUAACCUGCCCUUGACUUUGGGAUAACUUCAGGAAACUGGGGCUAUACCGGAUAGGAGCUCCUGCUGCAUGGUGGGGGUUGGAAAGUUUCGGCGGUUGGGGAUGGACUCGCGGCUUAUCAGCUUGUUGGUGGGGUAGUGGCUUACCAAGGCUUUGACGGGUAGCCGGCCUGAGAGGGUGACCGGCCACAUUGGGACUGAGAUACGGCCCAGACUCCUACGGGAGGCAGCAGUGGGGAAUAUUGCACAAUGGGCGGAAGCCUGAUGCAGCAACGCCGCGUGCGGGAUGACGGCCUUCGGGUUGUAAACCGCUUUCGCCUGUGACGAAGCGUGAGUGACGGUAAUGGGUAAAGAAGCACCGGCUAACUACGUG